rnacentral:rRNA from 1 species
AAACCAACAGGGAUUGCCUUAGUAACGGCGAGUGAAGCGGCAAAAGCUCAAAUUUGAAAUCUGGCACCUUCGGUGUCCGAGUUGUAAUUUGAAGAAGGUAACUUUGGAGUUGGCUCUUGUCUAUGUUCCUUGGAACAGGACGUCACAGAGGGUGAGAAUCCCGUGCGAUGAGAUGCCCAAUUCUAUGUAAAGUGCUUUCGAAGAGUCGAGUUGUUUGGGAAUGCAGCUCUAAGUGGGUGGUAAAUUCCAUCUAAAGCUAAAUAUUGGCGAGAGACCGAUAGCGAACAAGUACAGUGAUGGAAAGAUGAAAAGAACUUUGAAAAGAGAGUGAAAAAGUACGUGAAAUUGUUGAAAGGGAAGGGCUUGAGAUCAGACUUGGUAUUUUGCGAUCCUUUCCUUCUUGGUUGGGUUCCUCGCAGCUUACUGGGCCAGCAUCGGUUUGGAUGGUAGGAUAAUGACUAAGGAAUGUGGCUCUACUUCGGUGGAGUGUUAUAGCCUUGGUUGAUACUGCCUGUCUAGACCGAGGACUGCGUCUUU